rnacentral:misc_RNA from 1 species
AAGCUCGCACCAUGAGUUUUCGAACGACAACGGUAAGAGACGGAUCUCUUUCCGUGUACCUUCUGUUUUUAACUCUGUGUUAUUUAAACAACGAUUUUUCUACUUACGUACUAACAACGAAUUCGUGUGUGAAUAAUUUGUGUGGCUCUUUCGAGUGGAAUUCGUAAGCAGCAAUAUAUACGUGUGAAAGGAAGACUCCGUUGCUGCUCAAGAUUAAAAAUGAUCUGGUGUAACGUAGGUCGGUGACUUGAAAAAUCUUCCUUGCGGUUGCCGAUGUAAGGAUAAGGCGAAACACCGGACUGGCUCUGUUGGUCGAGACUACCGUGAACAUAUUGGAUUUCUAUUUCCUGUACACGCACGUGAAGAACGCUCUACUCUGUUUCUCCGCAUCAAGAGGGAAAUUAUGAGAACUAUACGGGUUCUCGGAGGACGUGUAGAAGUUUAGCGAAGAAUUCUAAUCGGAUGGCUGUUCGUGCAAAAUCCGAGCGCAACGGCGCAGUGAAGGAAACAGAGUACAGCAAUGACGCUUCCGGUAUCGAAUUAUCAGGAGCUGCUCAUUCAAGUUCGAGAGCUAACGCAUGAAACCAUCCGUUUGCAAAGGCAGUUAUCCUCGGAUUUGUUCGAUAAUGCCGAUCCACCGGAUGUGAAUCACAAUUUCUCGCUUGGUCAGAAGAAUUAUGAAAACGGAAAACACCUAACCGACAACGUAAUACGGCAGUUUGAGAAGAAUAGAAAAAACGAGACGGGUCAAAAUCCUCUGGCCGAGUACAACAAUUUUCGCUAUCGACCACGAUUCUGUCAGAACUUGGAAUCCACAGAGGGCAUUCGAGCCGGAGAGCUGACCAGCCGUCUUUUGACUUGGAGAAAUCGAAGCCAUCGACCAACAACUCUGCAGGAGGACGCGGAAGAGUGCCAGAAAAGAGCAGAAAGAUUCUCGGACGAGUGUCGCGUGUCUCGCGGAUCGGUGAUAGGCGUCAGCGUGGAAGGUGCCGGCUCGUGGAGGGCCCAGAGGCGCCCUCACGACAUCGAGCUACCUACGCCCCUGAGCAGCGUCGCGGCGCACGAGCUGGAGUCGUCGGUGGACGGCGCAGCGUUCAACCCCGUCGUCGCAACGGCGACGACGUCCGCGAGAUGCCCGCUGCUGAAAACACCGUCGUCCUCUUCAAAUUCUUUGCCUGUCAAUGCGAACUUCAGGCCAACCUUGUACCUCGGCACCGUGAUCGCUGAGACCAGCAAAGAGGAUGCUAUGGAGCCGGAAGUCAAGGAGGAGGACGAACGAAGGUCGUCCACGCCGAGUCCCGAGAUUUAUUCACGAAGAAAUAAACGCUAUAAUGAGGGUGGAAGUAGCGAGGAAGACAACAAACCAGACACAUCCCUGCAGGGUCACAGAUUACCGUCCUCUUAUCGGGGAACUUGGCCCAUCAGAAGAGACGUAUGGGCCAAUCAACAAAUGGGCUUUUCCCCUCAACAAAGCACGUCAACUACUGUACAUAAUGACGUAGCCAGUGUCAUGAGCUUCUCCUCGAACUCUGGCACGGCUCUGGGUUGCUCUACAGAGAUGCAGGGCGACCGAAGAUUAGGAGCGAAGGUAGACGUAGUGUACAACCUGUUAGGAAUGCUAGGAAGCACGGAAGGCAGGGAAGACAUGAGCGCCACUCUACUAUCAAUGAGCAACUCGAUAGACAACUGCCUCAUAAUGAGACAAUCAGGGUGUCUACCUCUGUUGGUCCAACUGAUCCACGCACCGGGCCAGGAUCCCGAGACGAGAGAGAAGGCGUCGCGAGCUCUGCAUAAUAUCGUCCACGCCAAGAGCGACGAGAGGGCUGGACGUCGGGAAGCGAGGGUUCUGCGGUUUCUCGAACAGUUGAGGGACUAUUGUCAGGCGUUGAGAACGUCGUUGGAAACAGGACAGGUUCCUGACGAUUUGGAAAGGCAUCCCGGACCGACGAUAGCCGCGUUGAUGAAGCUGUCCUUCGACGAAGCACACCGUCACGCCAUGUGUCAGCUCGGUGGACUGCACGCGGUUGCAGAGCUCAUUGAGAUGGACCACAUGGCCCACGGCAGCGAAUGCGACGACCAGAACUGCAUCACUCUACGCAGGUACGCCGGGAUGGCGUUGACGAAUCUCACGUUCGGCGACGGGAACAAUAAAGCGUUGCUCUGCUCCUUCCGGGAGUUCAUGAAGGCGUUGGUCUCGCAGCUGAGGAGUCCCAGCGACGACCUCAGACAGGUCACAGCGAGCGUUCUGAGGAACUUGUCGUGGAGAGCAGAUAGCAGUAGCAAGCAGACGUUGAGGGAGGUUGGAGCAGUGACUGGACUCAUGAAGGCAGCAAUGGAGGGCAGGAAGGAAUCUACGCUGAAGUCGAUACUCUCUGCGCUCUGGAAUCUGUCGGCACAUUGCAGCACAAACAAGGUAGACAUCUGUGCCGUGGACGGCGCGCUGGCAUUCCUUGUCGACAUGCUGAGCUACAAGGCGCCGUCCAAAACUCUGGCCAUCGUCGAAAAUGCUGGAGGAAUACUGAGGAACGUUUCUAGCCACAUCGCAGUCAGGGAGGACUACCGAUCCAUCGUGAGAGAGAGAGGAUGUCUGCAAGUUCUGCUGCAACAGUUACGUUCACCUAGUUUGACCGUCGUCAGCAACGCUUGCGGAGCACUGUGGAACCUCUCCGCCCGAUGUCCGCAAGAUCAGCGAUUACUAUGGGACCUGGGUGCAGUCCCCAUGCUGCGUAGUCUGAUCCACUCUAAGCACAAAAUGAUCUCCAUGGGCUCAAGCGCAGCCUUGAAGAAUCUACUAAGCGCAAGACCAGGCUGUAACAAUCUGGUCCAUCUGGACUCAACGGCACGAGGACUGGGCCUUCCAACCUUGCCCACUUUAGUCGCUCGCAGACAGAGAGCUCUGGAACAAGAGAUAGACCAAAACUUGGCCGAAACUUGUGACAAUAUUGAACCUAGCACGUCCCCGACGAACAAGGACGACAAGUUCUCGCUCAAAGUAGAUCACAGCUUCCUGGGGAUCAACGCACGUGCUCUGCGCCCCUACCAGCUACACAACCAGCCCAGUACGUCCAGUAUAAAGUGCAACGGGGUCGCUAGAAGCGAAAGCAGGGACUCUAUGCGCUCCGUGACGAGCACCCAUUCCGACACCAUGUUCGAACGAGUGAAUCGUCACGUCCUGAAUGGAUUAUCUCCCACAGAGAUUCAGAUCAAACAACAGUCCUCGUCGUUGCACGCUGCGGUUGGUUUUGAAAGUGGGAUGUCCAGCGAGGGACACUCCAAAGUCUCCUCCGAGAAGAAGUACACUUUACGUUACAAGAACGCUAUUCCGGAUCGUCUGAAAUCGUCAGACGGUUUCAAUGGCCUAGGUGACCUCAGAUGCACAAACUCCACCAUUUCGUGGUCCUCGGCACCGGACCAGGAAUCCGCCUGUUCACAGAAUCUGUUGCACUCGUCCGUGGAGGACAAUUUGCCUCAGAGCAUCUCGUUGAAGGCUGGCAGCCAGUCCAGCAUCCCUGAUGAAACUGAACUGAAUGUCUGCACGAAGUCAGAAUAUUCGACCGCUAAAAUGACCAUGGACAGCUCGUCCACGUUGUCCUUUGUUGGUAGCAGCUCUUCCGUGAAAGACGGAUUCGGGAACGUGUACGAGAAGACACUUCAUCAACACAACUCGCUGAAUACCAUACAAAAAGCAAUAUCUCCGACCGUCAGUCAUCGGACGGAAGGGACGCUGUUCACCGAUUAUGCUGUUACUGAUUUAGAUCAGCCGACCGAUUACAGCUUGCGUUAUGCCGAGCGUAGCUUGGAAGAUGAAGAGAAACAACAUUCGCAUUACUUUAGGAAUACUGAGCAAGAGCUGAUUCACGAGGACACGCUGAAGACCUAUUACACGGAAGGAACGCCUCAUGGCAUGUCUCUGAACUGUUCUAGAGCAGCCUCUGCUUCGGAUCUGCAGGAUGAUAGGCAGAAGAAGUUGCAGGAGCGGAAUAAAGAUAAGGAAACACUGAAGUUUCAAAACACGGUGAAGAAGGUUGGAAAAGGAAGUCAGGGAAUGCAUUACUUUGAAGCUGCUAAGGAUAGUAAUGUUGAAGUGGAUGAUCACUCACCUACAGUUAAUGCAGUAAGUUUGAAAACUACGCUCUCACAAGUGUCCUCAAGCAAUUUACAAUAUGACGAUGAUAAAUACAAGGCAUCUAAUUCAACGACAACUAAAUCAGUUGCAGAAGAAAAAUAUGAAACUAAAAAUGUUAUAUUUGAAAAGAAUGAAAAGUGCGAUCAAAAUUACCCUGCAAAUGGAGUUAAUUCGUAUGUGACCAGUACACUGAAGGCUUCUAAUGAUUCAGGAUAUCAAGUCAGUGAUGGGGAUGAGGACGAUGAAGAUCUGCUUACAGCUUGUAUUAAUAUUGGAAUGCAGAAUAAUAGGCACAGGCAUUCAUUCAUAGGAAACAAUUUUGAAAAGGUUCCACGAAAUGAAAGUACUUUAACCAGAUAUCAAACCAGCAUUGCACUGGAUCAAAUGGAGUGCAACUCGUCGGUCGAUUCUACCAUGAACAGUCUUGAUAUGAAACAAGAAUCUGAAGAAACAACAGACGAUGUUAGUAAAAAUAAAAUGAUGGAAAAUUCGCCAAAUGUAAAUAUUGGAUCUGAUUACAGUCAAAACACAAGUAAAUUUAUGCAGAAGACCGAGGAAAAUAAAAUCAUGAAGCAAUCAAAUCAAAUUUCCCAGAAUGAGUUAGGCAAAGCGAGUUUAGUAAUGGACGACGAUAAUCUGUGUAACUUCUCAUUGCCCUCGAAUUUGAGGAAUACUCCAGAGCUGCAAGAGACGAUAGUUUUCAAUUCCGAACCUAAUCAACAGCAAUAUUUAUCCAGUAUCGAUAAUCAAUCGAACGAAGAUAUCUCGUCUUUGGUCCACAAUGAUCUCCUUGAGGACACUACUAACUGGGAAAACGAAAAACCAGAAACGUCGAAAGACAAAGUUCCAGAGAAUUUGUCCAUGCAACAAUCUUACACGAAAGUAACAGAUUCUGAGAGCAGCGAAUCCAUUGAUUCCGUAGAACAAUCCGAACAUGCGCUGUUAGAAUUGUGUAUACAGUCUGGACCAACGAAAAUCGAUGACAUUCAAAACAUUUCGUUAAAGUCCAAUACGGAUGAGUUCAGACAACGACGGAUUAACGAUUUAGAUGAGGAUAAAAUGUAUAACGACACAUGUGAAGUAGAUGGUAUUAAGAAAGAAGAGACUAGCACAAAGCAUAAGACGCAGAAAGGUGGAGACGCGACGAAACAUGUUGAGAAAGAAGAGGUGUAUCGUCGUCAACGGGAUCCUGAUGCCAUGAUCGCCUCGCUAGAUCGACUAACAGCUACUUUGGUGCAGCAGACGGAAGCGAUACGUGAACGGGAUUCGAGUGCAAUGAAACAGAGUAUACUAAGUGACACGUGGAACGAAGAUUCGCCUAACGAAAUCUCUUUCCCUAGCAUCAGUAUCAGUGCUCCUAUAAUUGCCUCGUUCAAGAGUGACGUACCAGAAGACCAAGGUACGGAGACAGUUAGUAGCGAAAGUGGACACAUGACGAACUCUAAAAUCAUUCAAAGAGAAGCAAUCAAAUUGGCCGAAGCAGUCGAUGCAGAAAUGAACAGACAAAACGAAUUAGACACGACUAGUAUGACGUCCAUGGACUUGGAAGCAAUUAAGCCUCCUUCCUCCAUGGGAAGCCUGUUGUCUUUGACGGCCAGUUACGCGGGCUCAGGUGACUGCAGCGAGUCGUUCAGUAAUCGAGACAGAUGUAAUUCAACGUCCCUUCCUCCACUUCAGGUGAAGAGCGUGUCGACGACAGACUCUCGAGGCUGUCGCAAGAAGUCUCUCCCCCUUGGCGUUGUGGCCAAGCGGGCACUUAAUCAAACUCAGAGUCACACGGGAAGCUUGGAGAACCUGUUGAACGAAUGCACUGGCUCGCACUUGGAAAGUGUCAAACCACCGUCGAUGAUGGACGAGCUGCCAGACGUUGGUGAUAUGGAGAACAGCAUGCUGAGCGUUGCAAGCAUCACAUCGGAAAUAGCGGAAACUAAAGACCACUACUCGCACAGUCUAACUGGAAGCGAUGCUAUGUUCGAUUUACUGAAACCUGUCGCGAACGUACUUUCUAUAACAUGCAUGCGUUAUGCUGAAGCUAUGCAAAACAGCGCGAACAAUAGUCUGAGCGAAUGCUUGGAAAACAUCAAUCCUCCUUCAUUAUUCAACGAAGUCUGCGAAAUGGACGAAUCAACAAUGGAACAGGCUACUGAAACGAACUGUAGCGACACUUUGUGCAUCGACGCAGAGUUGUACACCGAAGAAGCCCCUCCACAUCCGAUCGUAGAAAGGAUUGACGAAGUAGGCAACGACACCGACGAAGCUGUUACUCCUAUCUCGUCAGAGUACUGCGGUACCAGCUCCGCUGAGUCUACGCCCAGAAAACGGUCGCACAGAAAUUUGACACCGAAACAGAAACGAAAUUUAGCCAAGGAGAGAUACAAGACGUACACUAUAGCUGCGGAAAUGGACAAGAAGGAGAAAGAAGCUGAGAAACGAGAGAAUGCAAACGGAGAAGAGAAGGUCACGCGUGGCAAGUGCUCACCGUUUUCUAAAUUGACGCCCAAACAACGUAGACAGGAAGACAGAGCCAGGUUUCAGACGCAGGUACUGGAAAAUCCUUUUCCUGACUUGAACCAGGAUCAGAACGUGCAACGGGAAGUUGAUAACGCUUCUAAUCAGGAGACUGCAGAGAAGCCUGAAACGUCUCCUGUUAAGUCCUCGAUUCCCAUGCUGUCCAAAGUCCCUGGCUGUAAAACGAUGAUAAAGAACCGCAUAGAGCAAAAGAAGAACAGGGAAAGAUAUCGCACGAGAACUCUGAACGACUCUGAGUGUAUUUUCAAAGAUGCAGAAAACGGUGUCGCUUCAAAUACCUUGGAAGAAAGAGUAACUGAUACAACGCGCAAUAUUCAGUCGGACGAAAUUCAAACCAUGCUAGAACAGAACGCAACUAUUGUAUUAAAUACUCUGAACGAAUCGAAGGCGAUCGAGAACAUAGAAGACACAUUUUUGGACUGCGAGACCUUAAGUUUGGUGUCGAACGAGUCAGAAUCAGAACGCAAUCUGCGAAUGAAGUUCGUUAAUGGUGUUUCCAAAAAACUUAUAGGCACUUGUGCUCAGCAAAUGGAAAAUGUGCACGAACCGGAAGGCGAUCACAGAGAGGCGGAAGCUGGUACACCUAGGUCCACGGAGGACGUGAGAUUUCUGGAUGCGGCAGAGAGCGAAAGCGACGACGAGUCGAACAACACUGAAGAGCCACCUAGAGAGACAAAGAGACCGCGUAUCAUCAAACCUGGAAUGGUGAGAGAUGCCAGCAACGAUUCGAACGCCACAGACAAGUCUGACCCCGAAAGUCCAAAGGCUAUUCGAGGCAGAAGGAAAGCUCUUUAUUCGAACCCGAUAACGCGGAAACCAACGCCACAGUCCUCCCCAUUGAAACAAGUGAAUCCCGUCAGUGGAAUUCCCAUAGGACGCAGCAACACUUCCCCCAUCGUAAGAGCUACGAGGGCUACCACUCUCAGACAAAACAAUAACAAUCCAAACAUCAUAACUAAAGACACUCCAAAAUCAAACACGAAUCCUAAAAUAACUCCCGGUUCAACGGACGCAGAGAAGAGAACGAAGGUUCUAUCGGUAGCCGCAAAGAGAGCGUCGGUGCCGCAGAAGGGAUCGUCACUCACUUUCACAAAGUCUGUAAAGAGACACAGCACACCUCCAACGUGCUCUCCGUCGAACUAUCAAGAAGCUAAAACGGACGUACCUAUCAAACCCCUGGAAAGACAGGGAACCUUUACCAAAGACGAGCCGGAAGUAGAGAACGCGCCCACGGUGGUCUCCACAUCUUCCUCUCCUAUAAAAACGAAGAUCGCGAAGCCGAUCAGAGGUGCUACCUCCAAAGUGCACCCAGCGGUAAGCAAACCUAAAGUGGCGCCCAAAACGCAUCAGGCGCAUCAAUCAAAAGUGACGAAAGGUACUACUUCGGAGAAGAUGCAGUCUAAAGCGUUGCCAUUGCUGGUUGCCCCGAAACGUUUGCCCACAGGUAAAGUAAGCGCCACCUCGAAAAUUCCUGGUUCUCAGAACGUCACGCAGAUGGAGAACGGUAAAAUUUUUCGGAAAGUCAGUCCUCUCGGGCAGAGGUCCAACAGCAAUUCCAGUAUCGUGUCCAAUUCAUCGACAGGUGCGCAAACCAGAAAGUUAGCCAAAGAGGCGACUAGUAAAAUAGCGAGUCUUUGGAAGAAAGUGGAGGAGAGCAAGAGCAAGCAACGCUUCGAGAAACCUGACACCAGGCAGUGGGUGCAGCCUGGCAAUUGCGCCAACGGUGUGGACGGUCCAUCCCCGGUCAGUAAUCCACCAGCCUUUAGAUUGUUUCGCAGCUCGACGUUCGAGGGAGUGCCUCAGGAGAACGACCACCCGGAAUCGACCUUGUACAAGUCGAAGCUGAAGAGACCGUUGGUGAUCGGUGUACAACCGAGCAAAGCGAAGUACAGGAAUUCCUGCGACCUCAGCGGGAUGAACGCGAACGACGCUCCGUGUAAGAUUCCCGUGAAGUCCAGCGAACCCGCCACGUACAAGAAGGAUACCGUAGAAGUAGAGGACGCUUCGGUGAUCUUGCGGAAACCGCAGCACGCUGAGUCUUCCACGGCGGAUGCGGUGGAUCCUACGAAACGUAUAUCGCGCCUUGGUUCCUUCAUAAGAGUAGAUUCUGCAGAGGGCGCUGCACAAACGCACGUUAACGGCGGUAAUGUGCGUACACCCGCAUCCGCUAUUGUGCCACCUUUUAAUUACAAUCCGAAACAAGAUAUACCUUCUUCGCAGGCAACCAAAGUAACGUCAGAGGAAAGCGAAGGAAAAUUCAGGAUGACAGAUUGUCACAGCGACAUUGUCACGGCUUCUACGAGAGUGACAACAGUAUAGGAGGAGCCUGUUAUUAAAUAACAAGUUUUCGUUCAUAGUAUCGCUUCUUUCUUUCAGGCUAGUCAUUGUAUAUUUGCUUCGUUACGCUGCGUUUGAUCGCGUGUAUCGGCACACGCGGUAUUCAUUAAACCCUUCGUACGUGGAAGAAUGGCCGAUCGGGUGUAUUUCUUGGUUGCAUGCGUUGUGAUGCAAGUUUUUAAUAUGUACGGAUAAAGUGUGAAAUAGUCGUCGAAGAUCAAUGAUAUAUCAUUCCUAUUCACUUUUACGUAUUGUAUAUACAUUAUUAUUGAGGAAUUCCAUCAUUACGAGGACAUUUAAAAUCGGUAGUAAGUAGCAGUAAUUAUGCUCGAUUAUUUAUUCAAUUUUGUAUAUAUAUUCAACGUGGAUGAAGAAUGUAGAAAGUUUAGCGAAUACGUAUUACGAAUCACGAUGUAUAUCACAAAAGAAUAAAAAACAAAAGUAUGUCGCUGUACAUCUUCGUAAUUAGGUAAAUUUGCAAGGAAUAAGAUCUGUAUUUUGUUUCAACCAUAACUGAUUUGUAUUCUUUUAACGAAUACAAAGUCUAAUUACUUUUAAAGACUGAUAGAAACACGAUGAUGAAGAUUUGGACAAAACUUGAACAUCUUCAACGCAAAACUGGAUGUUAACGAUAAUUGCGGUAGUGAUGUUUAUAUCAAUGUAGCGGUCUAAGUAACGUUAGACUGGCAUUGCGUGAAGAGACAAAAUUUUGUAAAUCCUUACUUUAAGUUUCUAGUCUAUUUGAAAAUCUACAGUUGAAAUAGCUUCUAUUUUGGUCAUAUGUGUAAUAACAUAAAAUCGAUUUGCAUGUAACAAGCGUCUACUGAUUCGACUGGUUACCCUUUCUAAAAUACAUGUAGGUACGAUUACGAGUGUGUACGGAUCAAUUAUGUAUUUGUAGAUUGGAAAAUCGAAAAUAUUGGCAUUGCAUUUAUCAAUUUUAUUUUGAUACAUUUAUCUUUUCUUUAGUUUCGUUCGAACAAAAAAUUUACUACACAUCUGAAGUGUUAAAAAAAUACAAUAUUUUAAGUUUUCUUCUAUAUCGUGUCAUCUGUCCUUCUACAUGUGUUAGAUCGAUCUAAAGUCUCAUUAGAAGGAGAAUGUUUGACACCAUAUGGAGUAGAUUUUAUUAUGAAUUAUUUAAAUGUAUUUGUUAUAAGUGUUUUACCCUGUUCCAGUUCGAGUUAAUUAGAUUUAACCCUUCCAACUUGGAACCACAUCAGGGUAUCCUUAUAUUUUUUUCUUUAUACAAGGUUUGGUCUGUACACCAGAUUCUUUUUCAAAGUUCUUUUGUAAUCUUUGUCCUUUAUCUAGAUCUUAAGUGCAAUCCAUCUUUGGUUAUAUUGUAUUUUAGAUUUGGUAGGCAUCUUAAUGAUUUGUAUAUUAAUAAUUGCAGUACAAUAAAAUUAAUAGCUACUAUCUA